UCUGGUUUAUCACCAGCAGUCUGCCUAAAGUGCCCAGCUUUACCUGAUGGCAACUAAGCACGAGGGUUGCGCUCGUUACGGGACUUAACCCAACAUCUCACGACACGAGCUGACGACAGCCAUGCAGCACCUGUCUCUGUGCUUCUUUCGACACCCCAACCUCUCAGUCGGGUUCACAGGAUGUCAAGGGUAGGUAAGGUUCUUCGCGUUGCAUCGAAUUAAACCACAUGCUCCACCGCUUGUGCGGGCCCCCGUCAAUUUCUUUGAGUUUUAACCUUGCGGCCGUACUCCCCAGGCGGAGAACUUCUGCGUUAGCUUAGAGACACAUCAACUUACGUUAACAUUCCUCCAGUUCUCAUCGUUUACAGCAUGGACUAC
rnacentral:misc_RNA from 1 species